UUUCCGUAGGUGAACCUGCGGAAGGGUCAUUCAUAAUAAAGUGUUUUAUGGCACUUUUUAAAAAUCCAUAUCCACCUUGUGUGCAAUGUUAGAUCUCGUCAAUCUUGGCGAGAUUUUUAUACAUCAACUCAUUCUUUAACCAAUUUGUCUGAAAAAUAUUAUGAAUACUUAAUCCAAAAUACAACUUUCAACAACGGAUCUCUUGGCUCUC
rnacentral:misc_RNA from 1 species